rnacentral:rRNA from 1 species
GACGAACGCUGGCGGCGUGCCUAAUACAUGCAAGUCGAACGAACUCUGGUAUUGAUUGGUGCUUGCAUCAUGAUUUACAUUUGAGUGAGUGGCGAACUGGUGAGUAACACGUGGGAAACCUGCCCAGAAGCGGGGGAUAACACCUGGAAACAGAUGCUAAUACCGCAUAACAACUUGGACCACAUGGUCCGAGUUUGAAAGAUGGCUUCGGCUAUCACUUUUGGAUGGUCCCGCGGCGUAUUAGCUAGAUGGUGGGGUAACGGCUCACCAUGGCAAUGAUACGUAGCCGACCUGAGAGGGUAAUCGGCCACAUUGGGACUGAGACACGGCCCAAACUCCUACGGGAGGCAGCAGUAGGGAAUCUUCCACAAUGGACGAAAGUCUGAUGGAGCAACGCCGCGUGAGUGAAGAAGGGUUUCGGCUCGUAAAACUCUGUUGUUAAAGAAGAACAUAUCUGAGAGUAACUGUUCAGGUAUUGACGGUAUUUAACCAGAAAGCCACGGCUAACUACGUGCCAGCAGCCGCGGUAAUACGUAGGUGGCAAGCGUUGUCCGGAUUUAUUGGGCGUAAAGCGAGCGCAGGCGGUUUUUUAAGUCUGAUGUGAAAGCCUUCGGCUCAACCGAAGAAGUGCAUCGGAAACUGGGAAACUUGAGUGCAGAAGAGGACAGUGGAACUCCAUGUGUAGCGGUGAAAUGCGUAGAUAUAUGGAAGAACACCAGUGGCGAAGGCGGCUGUCUGGUCUGUAACUGACGCUGAGGCUCGAAAGUAUGGGUAGCAAACAGGAUUAGAUACCCUGGUAGUCCAUACCGUAAACGAUGAAUGCUAAGUGUUGGAGGGUUUCCGCCCUUCAGUGCUGCAGCUAACGCAUUAAGCAUUCCGCCUGGGGAGUACGGCCGCAAGGCUGAAACUCAAAGGAAUUGACGGGGGCCCGCACAAGCGGUGGAGCAUGUGGUUUAAUUCGAAGCUACGCGAAGAACCUUACCAGGUCUUGACAUACUAUGCAAAUCUAAGAGAUUAGACGUUCCCUUCGGGGACAUGGAUACAGGUGGUGCAUGGUUGUCGUCAGCUCGUGUCGUGAGAUGUUGGGUUAAGUCCCGCAACGAGCGCAACCCUUAUUAUCAGUUGCCAGCAUUAAGUUGGGCACUCUGGUGAGACUGCCGGUGACAAACCGGAGGAAGGUGGGGAUGACGUCAAAUCAUCAUGCCCCUUAUGACCUGGGCUACACACGUGCUACAAUGGAUGGUACAACGAGUUGCGAACUCGCGAGAGUAAGCUAAUCUCUUAAAGCCAUUCUCAGUUCGGAUUGUAGGCUGCAACUCGCCUACAUGAAGUCGGAAUCGCUAGUAAUCGCGGAUCAGCAUGCCGCGGUGAAUACGUUCCCGGGCCUUGUACACACCGCCCGUCACACCAUGAGAGUUUGUAACACCCAAAGUCGGUGGGGUAACCUUUUAGGAACCAGCCGCCUAAGGUGGGACAGAUGAUUAGGGUG